rnacentral:rRNA from 1 species
UGGGGAAUAUUGCACAAUGGGCGCAAGCCUGAUGCAGCCAUGCCGCGUGUAUGAAGAAGGCCUUCGGGUUGUAAAGUACUUUCAGCGGGGAGGAAGGGAGUAAAGUUAAUACCUUUGCUCAUUGACGUUACCCGCAGAAGAAGCACCGGCUAACUCCGUGCCAGCAGCCGCGGUAAUACGGAGGGUGCAAGCGUUAAUCGGAAUUACUGGGCGUAAAGCGCACGCAGGCGGUUUGUUAAGUCAGAUGUGAAAUCCCCGGGCUCAACCUGGGAACUGCAUCUGAUACUGGCAAGCUUGAGUCUCGUAGAGGGGGGUAGAAUUCCAGGUGUAGCGGUGAAAUGCGUAGAGAUCUGGAGGAAUACCGGUGACGAAGGCGGCCCCCUGGACGAAGACUGACGCUCAGGUGCGAAAGCGUGGGGAGCAAACAGG